UACGGAGGGUGCAAGCGUUGUCCGGAAUUACUGGGCGUAAAGAGCGCGUAGGCGGCGCGGUACGACCGCUGUGAAAGCCCCCAGCUCAACUGGGGAGGGUCAGCGGUAACGGCCGUGCUUUGAGUGCAGGAGAGGGAAGUGGAACUCCGGGAGUAGCGGUGAAAUGCGUAGAGACCCGGAGGAACACCAGUGGCGAAGGCGGCUUCCUGGUCUGCGACUGACGCUGUGGCGCGAAAGCUAGGGGAGCAAACGGG
rnacentral:rRNA from 1 species